UACGUAGGUGGCGAGCGUUAUCCGGAAUUAUUGGGCGUAAAGAGCGCGCAGGUGGUUGAUUAAGUCUGAUGUGAAAGCCCAUGGCUUAACCGUGGAGGGUCAUUGGAAACUGGUCGACUUGAGUGCAGAAGAGGGAAGUGGAAUUCCAUGUGUAGCGGUGAAAUGCGUAGAGAUAUGGAGGAACACCAGUGGCGAAGGCGGCUUCCUGGUCUGUAACUGACACUGAGGCGCGAAAGCGUGGGGAGCAAACAGGAUUAGA
rnacentral:rRNA from 1 species